rnacentral:rRNA from 1 species
CCUACGGGGGGCAGCAGUAGGGAAUAUUGCGCAAUGGAGGAAACUCUGACGCAGCGACGCCGCGUGCGGGAUGAAGGCCUUCGGGUUGUAAACCGCUUUCAGUAGGGAAGAAGCGAAAGUGACGGUACCUACAAAAGAAGCACCGGCUAACUAUGUGCCAGCAGCCGCGGUAAUACAUAGGGUGCAAGCGUUGUCCGGAAUUAUUGGGCGUAAAGAGCUCGUAGGUCGUUUGUUACGUCGGAUGUGAAAAUCUGAGGCUCAACCUCAGACCUGCAUUCGA